rnacentral:rRNA from 1 species
UACGGAGGGUGCAAGCGUUGUUCGGAAUCACUGGGCGUAAAGGGCGUGUAGGCGGCCUGUUAAGUCUGAUGUGAAAUCCCCUCGCUCAACGAGGGAACUGCGUCGGAAACUGGCAGGCUCGAGUACCGGAGAGGAAGGUGGAAUUCCCGGUGUAGCGGUGAAAUGCGUAGAUAUCUGGAGGAACACCGGUGGCGAAGGCGGCAUCCUGGACCGGCAUUGACGCUGAGGAGCGAAAGCCAGGGGAGCAAACGGG